rnacentral:rRNA from 1 species
UAGGGAAUAUUCCGCAAUGGACGCAAGUCUGACGGAGAAACACCGCGUGAGUGAAGAAGGAGUUCGGUUGGUAAAACUCUGUUGUUAGAGAAGAACAGCGCAUAGAGUAACUGUUAUGCGUGUGACGGUAUCUAACCAGAAAGCCACGGCUAACUACGUGCCAGCAGCCGCGGUAAUACGCAGGUGGCAAGCGUUGUGCGGAUUUAUUGGGCGUAAAGCGAGCGCAGGCGGUCAAUUAAGUCUGAUGUGAAAGCCCCCGGCUCAACCGGGGAGGGUCAUUGGAAACUGGUUGACUUGAGUGCAGAAGAGGAGUGUGGAAUUCCAUGUGUAGCGGUGAAAUGCGUAGAUAUAUGGAGGAACACCAGUGGCGAAGGCGACUCUCUGGUCUGUAACUGACGCUGAGGCUCGAAAGCGUGGGUAGCAAACAGG